GCUUCGGUGGCGAAACUGGUAGACGCGCUGGAUUCAAAAUCCAGUUCCUUUUUGGAGUGUGGGUUCGAUUCCCACCCGAAGUA
rnacentral:tRNA from 1 species